GAACAUAAUCAUAAUCAUAAACAUUGACCCCUCUGUGGGAUCUCAUCAAUGCCCCAAUGGGCAAUACAACAUAUGUUGAGUUAGUUUACAUAAACAUCAUACAAGAUCUAGGAUCAUGUAUUAAAAGGGAUACUUUACACAUAGGUCAAGCACAACCUCUAAUCCUCAAUAUCAUUACAAUACACAACUAUUCAUAACUUUACAAUUUAUCAUGUCCACAUUCUAUCUAUUACAUACAAAGACUUCAAUACUUUUGCCGACCUCCUGGUCUACCCUGUACCUGCAAACCUGGGGGAUUAGGGAGAGGGGUGAGCUACUAGAGCCCAGUGAGCAGAAUAAUAAAACAUUUAAAACAUAUGAUAACAUGGAAUGCAUCACAUCACAACUAAUCACAUCAAGGAUGAACUUGUCACCAAUAGCCCUCUACAUAGUCCAACUGUGCCAGAACGUAGAAUGGGUCCUGGUCUUUCUCUUACAUAGUGCCAGCGAACGUAGAAUGGGUCCCACUGGUCUUACAUUCUGUACCGUACAUAUCACAUCGUCACAUCAUAGAUCGAGGGCUAUGGAUCAUCCAACAUUCAUCCACAUCAACAUGGAAAUAUGCAAUGCAACAUAUUCGUGAAUUCUAGUGCAACAACCUAAAUCAUCACAUGGCAUUCAUGAUGCAUGAACAUGCUCAAAACUUUACAAUCGAUUUACUUUAAAACGUAAAGAUUCAUUCCACUCACCUCUGGAUAGCUCUGACCAGACACUGGAACAGCUGACUCACUGCUGGGGUCCUCGGUUCCUCGGGUCCGAACCUACACAGGUGGACUCAAGUGAGGGACCAAAUAACUAGAACAUAACUCUAAACUACUCCCCAAAAACCCCCUAAACAUCAUAGAAAAAUCAUAGAAAAACAUGCAAGAGAAGGCUGGACAGGGCAGGUUCGGCGGCCGAAAGUCCCUCCAGAGCCGAAAGUCAGGCAGGUUCGGCGGCACCUUCGGCGGCCGAAACUCCCAGACAGAGGCGAAACUCAUGCAUGUUCGGCGGCACUUUCGACGGCCGAAACUCCCAGACAGAGACGAAAGUCUCCUUUCGGGGGCAAGCUUCGGCAGCCAAAGGCUGCCUUCACAAGCAUAUUCGGUGGCCGAAAGUUCCUUCGGCUGCCGAACCUGGUUUCUCCCAUAGUGGCAGAAACUCAGCUCUUCUAUGCACAUAUGCCUCCAAAACUUUCCAAACAUGCAUAAACCUAUUCUACAACACACAUACACAAGCAUACAAGCUCCUAGGGGCUUCAAACCAUCAAAAACCCCAACUACAACACAUCAAACAACUCAUAUUGCACAAAACAUCAACAUGAACACAUAAACUCCAACAUAACCUAACUAUAAGCUAAACAUGCAUUCUACCCCAUAGAUCUUCAUAAAACUUACUUAAAACAUGCAAUGAGCUUAAGAUCGGCUCUUACCUCGUGGAGAUCGAGAGAGAGACGACCUAAACUCGGAGAUGGGAGGGGUUGAGUUUCCUUGAACCUCAAAGCUCCAAAACUUGCUCAAAACUUGAAAAUCUUCAAAACAAGGCAAAAACUCAUGAAAAUCUUGAAAGAUCUGAAGGAAGAACUCAAAGAUUGGUGAGGGACGGUGGAGAGCUCACCUUGGCCGACAACGGGGAGAAAAGCUCGCCCGUUUUCGGCUAAGGGACCCUUUUAUAGUGGCUGGCCAGGCCACGUUCGGGGGCCGAACGUGCCCCCUCAUGCAUGCCAUGUUCGGCGGCCGAACCUGGACUUCCCUCACUUAUGUUUUCGGGGGCCUAAAGCACUCCCGAAGUGCAUGCAUGUUCGGCGGCCGAACUUGAGGUUCGGCGGUCGAACCUGAGUUUUCCUCCAAGGUUGUUUUCAUGCAAAAACUCAUUUCCUUUUCACUUAAAAUCAUGAAACACAUUAAAACAUUUUAUGAAAACAUGUUUCUACCCUACUAGAGGCUUCCGACAUCCGAGAUUCUACCGGACGGUAGUAAUUCCGAUACCGGAGUCUAGCCGGGUAUUACAGGUUUGAACUUUGUACAGCUAGAAAAAUCAAAAUUAUAACUCGCAAAAUCAAAAUUCUGGAGUCUGUCCGUCAGCUUAGGCUACAGCCUUGGGUAAGGCUGUACCCUCCAGUCAAAAAAACUCUAAAACAACCUCUUUUUGUUCAUUUUCUCAUUUUCUGCUCAAAACCUUUUCAAAAUCAAAUUCCAAGUAAAAAUCAAUUGUUUAUAUCAAAAUCAUAGCAAAAUCAUGAAAUUUUUAAUAUGGAAAAAGUGGUGAGUUUUGCAACUCAUCAAAUUCUCCCACACUUGCACCUUUGCUCGUCCUCAAGCAUAGAAAUUCAAACAACAAUAGAAAAACAACAUUGUCCUCAACCAUUUGAAACUUAAUUUGUCCAAAGAAAAGAACCAAAUUGUCAUGUAAUAAGAUAAUAGCAAAAAUAGCUUAAUUUCACUAAAAUUCAUUUCAACAAAUCUCAUGUUUAAAGCGUGUUUCUCAAGUCAUAAAGCUAGUCCUCAAUCAAAUUUCAAGCACAAAAUAUUUAGAAUGCCAUUAAUAUUAAACUUCCCUUUUGAAAGAAUAGAAUCUUAGAAACAUUUGGCUAGACCGAUAAAAUUAAAAGAUUUUGGAGAGUUUUAUUAUACUUCCUACUAUAUCUUGCCUGAAAUCGAUAAAGUGAACGUGAAACAAAUGGUUAUUGAGCCAUUUGCCCCAAGUUAUUCAGCUCAAGUGGCUAGUAGCUCCACUCAUGGUCACCUAACUAAAGGCACGGGGCGAGUUUUUAAACGGCCCAAAAGGGAUGAUACUCUCCCAAACACUGAUUUUUUCAUACAGAAUCAUCUUAAGGGGUCACCAAGUACUGCACUACUUGGACCAUCGAGUUGUUAACCAAAUAACUACGUAACUAGAUAAGUGGGUCAUAGGAGUGCAUUAAUUUCUAAUUUUUUACUAUCUUUCUUUUUUCUUUUUCUUUUCUUUCCUUUUAAUGACACCCCUUAAUUUUCACAUAAACACAUAGUCUAGAUAAUGUCCUUUAAGUCAUUCUCAACAAAGGGAAGCAACUCAUUUAAAAAAACAUGCAUUCAUUAUCAACUAUUUAAAUAAGGACCAUAUUUCAUAAACUCUCAAAACAAGCCUUAAAACCAAAAAUAACAAAAUGAACAAUGAUGAAUUUACUCUAUUUAGGCUAACAUACAAAUGGUAUAAAAACUUUAAUUCUAUGAUAAGAACAUAUCAAUUUCUCAUGUCAAGUAAGGAAUUUUUUUUUUUAAUAAACCUCAAAAACAGAAAAAUAAAAAUCUUAAAAAGUGACAAAAUCAACAAGUGCAAGUGCUGAGAAAUUGCUGAGAAAUAGAAAAACAAGGAAAGUGUACAGGCUUGGGCAAGCCUUUAGCCAUCAGUAAAAAAAUUGUGCAGAAAUAGCAGAACAGAAGAAAAAUUCUAAGAACACACAGCAGAAAAAUAUGUACAUUCAGAAAAAUAUGUACAUCAAUCAAUCACAGCCAAAACACUUCUAUUCCAAUUACUUCUUCCCCCCAUACUUGCUCCUCACAUUGUCCUCAAUGUGGAAAAAAAUUGAAACAAUGGGGAAAGUAUAUCAGCAUAUUAGCAAAAGUGAGUAAAGAGAACUUUCCUGAGGACUAAGUUUCCUAAAACUUCAGGUUGGUGGAGGUUGGGGUAUAGGCAACCCUAAGUGGGAGAGAAUGACAUCCAACUUUGCAUCAAUGUGGUGCAUUUUCACCUCAAUUCUGGCUAGGCGGGUUGAUUAUCAGGUUCUGGAGGUGUUGUUGAGGAAGCUGGAGCUAACUUGUCCACUGUCCAAAAUAAAUGCAAUCGUGGUGGAAUGAUAGGACCUGAAGGACAAAGUAUAAUUUUCUUUCCUCUCAUUUGAGGCAAAAUAAGCCCAUAGAGUUAAGUGCAAGUAUAUCAAGAGGAAGAAUAUGCUCAGCUAUGUGAAAAUCAGUGUUUUCUGUGUCAAGCACACCCAAUCCUAUGGCUAGCAUAGAAAUCACAAAACCUAGAUAUAUACCACGCCUAGCAUUAGAUAUACUUUUAAACUUGGAGGCUAACCAGAAACUAAAAUUAACUUUCCGUUAAUCAACAUACACAAUGAAAAGAAGAGUUCAUACUUUGUCAGCUUGGUGGGAUCUUUAUUUUUUUCCAAAAAAUGUAUAACAAAGAAACUUGUGAAUAUAUCUAAGGGCAGGGCUUUGGAUAUCAUUGGCUUUAGAUUUUUCUCCCUUAAAUUCAAGCUCAGGUUUCCCUGUUAAUUCUUUGUAUACCAAAAUUGAAUUCCAACCAGCUGAUAAUCACAUAAUGAGUCUAGGUAGUCAGCAGUUUUAAUAUAAUUAUCAUUAUAAAUACCCAAAUACAAAUUAAAACCUGUAAUUGAAUAAUGUACCAGUUUAUUCUGCAAUCUAAAGUGAAUAAUAGGUACAUUUAAAUUGAAAUUUCGCACAUCAAAAGAGAAUUCAUAGGUGGCAUAAAAUUCAUGGCACAAUUCAACAUAAGAGGGGUAGUUUAUGAUAAAGAAUUUUCUCCACCCAAUAUUGUCAACUAAAACAUAAACCUCAUCAUAUAAUUGCAACGGGUCAAGGCAGCAUCACUUAUUCUUUUGCAAGCAAAGAUAUCAGAAUGGAGAAAAUUUUGGUACCUGACCUUAUCAUCACCUUCAAAAUUGAAGUCGCAUGCGGGUCUUGCUCCUCGGGAGAGUAUCUGGCCCUCCUAGCAGCUAUCCUAGGCAUUCAUUUUUGUUGUUUCUUCUUCGAAGGAGAAGCAGGCUGAAUCUCCUCACUGUUGAUGGUCUCUACCUCUUGGCCCAUUGUUCCCUUCUCAUUAUGACUCGAGACUGUGUCCUCGUUACUGCUUUCUGAAGCCUACAAGACUAAUGUGGUGGUCUUGAGUUGUGUUUUUCUGUCCUGUAGCUAGUUUAGAAUUUCAGGUUUGACCUCCCAUUCAUCUUCCUCAUCAUCGGUGUGCACCUCAUGGAUAGGGGUUUUGCCCUUUACCUACGAAUGAGUCGUCCUCCUUAUCGCGACCGGCGGAGAGGAUGGCGAUGGGGCAGAAUCGCUGGCGAUGGGACAGAAUCACUGGCAACGCGGCUACCACUUGUAGUGGUAUCGUUGGCGUGUUUGUCGCCCUUCCAGCUGCUUGUGCUUCCAUUGCUAAAGUCACCAUCGUGGUCGAUGAAGCAUGGUGGCGGUGUGUGGAGGUAGGCACAGUGGCUGGCAUGGCAUCAGGCUGGGUCGUGGUUUGCAGAGUCUUCACCAUAGCUGUCCCUACGAAGAAAGAGAGUAACGCGAAAGAGAGAGGGAAAUAGUGUGUUGACGGCAUGGGAAGAAGAGAAAAGAAAAGAAAAGUGAAUAAGGGUUUUGGAUUUUUAAAUGAAAGUAAUCAGUAAAUAAAAAUAGUAAAAAAAUAAAAUUACUUCUUUUAAGAGCAGUUAUAAGACUUACUCAAAUAAUGUACCACUCAAAUAAUCAUUAAAGGUUAUAUUAUCUUUAUAAAGUUCAGACUUGUCCAGAAGAUCUAAUAUGCUCCAAGAUUGAAGAUAAUAAAGAAAUAAAAGAAUAAAAAUUAAAAAUUAAAAGAAAAACCUCCUAGUAACCGGACAGGCUUGGGUAAGCCUGUCGCCUUAGGUUGCCUCCUAAGCAACGCCCUUGUUUACUGUCCUAGGCUGGACAUUAGUGGCAUGUUAAACUUCAUCCACUUCCAUCUUCGUAUUCAUUCAGCACCCAAAUCAACUUCUUUGCUUCUAAAAGAUUAAACUUGGAGGAGAUUUUGAUCGAAAGUGUGUUGUUACUUUCCAAAAAUACAUAUUUCAAAUGAGCUGAAAGUGUUUUCAACUCAGGUUUCGGUGCCUUAUGGGUCGAAGUGUCCAAUGAGUGGACCGUCUCUAUGAUCUCCUCACCGAGUUGGGUUGCACAAUUGCCUAGAUAGUCCAAUGUCAAUUUUUCGGUCAGAACUACCUCCAUUUUAUCUUCCUUGCUGCAAAGAGAAAAAUUAUCAUCAGGAUACUUCAUUGCAUCAUAGACAUUAAAUUUUACCUCUUCUUCGUCAAACUCCAUUGUGAGCAUGCCUUUGUGUAUGUCGAUCUUCGUUCUAGUUGUGCAAAGAAAUGGUCUUCCUAGCAACAAAUCGGUGGAGUUAGAUGAAUUGUCAUCUUCCAUGUCUAAGACAAAAAAGUCUGCUGAAAAAAUUAAUUUCCCUACUUAGACUAAGACAUCCUCCAACACACGCUUAGGAUAGACUAUUGAUCUAUCAGUGAGUUGGAGUGUGAUUUCUGUUUGUUUUAAAGGACCUGCAUCCAAAGACAAAUAAACAGACAGAGGCAUAACAUUUAUGGAAGCUUCUAGAUCAUAUAUUGCCUUCUUAACUUUAAAGUUUCCAACUUUACAUGAUACUGCAAAUAUGCUUUUACCUUUACAUUUUUGUGGAAUUUUUCUUUGAAGUACAGCUGAUACAUUUUCACUUACUUUUAUCUUUCCAUGCUCAUAUAAUUUCCUUUUAUUAGUGCAAAGGUCUUUUAGAAAUUUCGCAUACUUGGGUAUUUGCUUUAUUGUUUCAAGAAGGGGUAUGUUUACCUGGGCUUUGCAAAAAAUCUCCAAGAUCUCUUUUUCUUCCCUUUCCCUUUUAUAUUGAGUAAGUCUUUCAGGAAAACGAGGACGUGUUACCUAGAUUAGAGGUUGUUCUACCUUUGAUUUCUAGGCUGGUUCUCUGCUGGAAUUUUCAAUUCUGCUUUUGGCAUUAGAUUUGUCGCACUGCUUUAGGCAAGCCUCUUCGAGCUGGCAAUUUCCAAUUCUUUCUCGCUUUGCAAUGUAAUUGUACUUGCUUUCUAUUUUGGGUUUGGCACGGUUUGGGAGGACAAUAUUCCUUGAGAUUCCAGCUUGCUUACUGAUGUAACGAGUUGGCUCAAUUGGUUCUCCAAAUUCUUUAUGCUCGAUAUCGUUUUCUAUUGAAAUGUAAAAGUGCUAUUAGCAAGAGAUUGCACAAUGUCUUCUAAAGAUAUACCUGAUUUUGCAGCUUGUUGAUAAUUUGUUCUUGGCUGAAAAUUCUACUGUCUAUUUCAUAGCUAAGAUUUGGAUGAUCUCUCAACUCUGGAUUGUAUGUAUUUGAAAAUGGGUCAUACCUCCUUUACUGUCCAUUGAAUCCUCUAAUGGCAUUUACUUGUUGCUCAUCUUCCUAAAGGGUAGGACACAUGUCUGUGGAUGGUCGCCUUGUUUGCAAAUGGCACAAGUGCGUACAUUAUUUCCUAUAGCCAAUUGUUGAAUUGCAGCAGUAAGUUGUGAAAUUUUAGAAUCUAAAGAUGCAAUACUUAUCUCAUUCGCAUUUCUGGGAAUGUUCUCAUCUCAGCCAUACUGUCUAGAGUUGGCAGCUAAUUUCAAGAUUAAAGUUUUACCUUCUUCAGGUUCCAUUUUCGCAAUAGCUCCUCCACUAGCAGCAUCUAUUAUUCUCCUUUCUAAUGGAAAAAGCCCUUCAUAGAAGUGAAGGUUGAGUUAUUUUGGAGUGAUUCCAUAUUUUGGAUAGCUUGCAAUUAAUUUUUUAUAAUGUUCCCAAUAUUCAUGGAGAGUUUCACUUUUUCUUUGUUUUAUUUCACUUAUUUCCUUUCUUAUAGAUGAAGCUUUAGUUGCUAAAAAAAAUCUUUCUAAGAACAAGUCUCUAAUCUAUGCCCAAAUGGUGAUUGAACCAGGGGGCAUGUAGUAGAGCCAAUCCUUAGCAGAUUCAAUCAAAGUAAAAGGAAAAGCUACUAACCUAAUUUGUUCAUCAGUUAUCCCCUGUGGUCACAUACUUGAACAAACCACAUAAAAUUCUUCCAUAUGAUGAUGUGGGUGUUCAUUCUCUAACCUUUAGAAUUUUGGUAACAUAUAAAUCAUACAUGUUCGCAAUUCUAGGGGUCCAUUUAACAUUGGGUAUGUGAUGCAAAGAGGUUGCUCUUCGACAAAGCUGCGGCCAUUGUGUCUCUUUGGUUGGUGUAAACUGGAGGUUCGAUCGGUGUUGAAGACGUUGUGUCUUUGGUGUAACGACCCGAAAAUCGGACUGCUACCGGCGCUAGGAUCCAGGUCGGCUUAAGGCCGCCGGAACCCGUAGUAAGCCUAACAUAAAACCUGUAAACCUGCUUAAUCCCAUACAUGAUCAAGAAUAUACAUAAAAAUUAAAACUUUUCUUUCAUACAUUCUCUCAUACACCAAACUCAACCUGUGCAUGCACUGAACAUAGACAUAAUCAUAAACAUUGACCCCGCUGUGGGAUCUCAUCAAUGCCCCAAUGGGCGAUACAACAUAAGUUGAGUUGGUUUACAUAAACAUCACAAAACAUCUAAGAUCAUGCAUAAAAAGGGAUACCUUACACAUUGGGUCAAGCACAAUCUCUAAUCCUCAAUAUCAACACAUACAUUACUAUUCAUAACUUUACAUCAUUUUACAAUUUAUCAUGUCCACACUCUAUCUAUUACAAACAUAUGACCUCACGACUCUUGCCGACCUCCUGGUCUACCCUGUACCUACAAACCUGGGGGAUUAAGGAGAGGGGUGAGCUACUAGAGCUCAGUGAGCAGAAUAAUAAAACAUUCAAAACAUAUUAUAAUAUGGAAUGCAUCACAUCACAGCUAAUCACAUCAAGGAUGAACUUGUCA
rnacentral:lncRNA from 1 species